UACGUAGGUGGCAAGCGUUGUCCGGAAUUAUUGGGCGUAAAGCGCGCGCAGGUGGUUCUUUAAGUCUGAUGUGAAAUCUCGCGGCUCAACCGCGAGCGGUCAUUGGAAACUGGGGAACUUGAGUGCAGAAGAGGAAAGUGGAAUUCCACGUGUAGCGGUGAAAUGCGUAGAGAUGUGGAGGAACACCAGUGGCGAAGGCGACUUUCUGGUCUGUAACUGACGCUGAGGCGCGAAAGCGUGGGGAGCAAACAGG
rnacentral:rRNA from 1 species